CUAUUUUGUUUGUCAUUAAAAUUUUAGAUUUGAAGAUGGAGCCACAAGGGAGUGAAAGAACAUCAAAAGAUCAAGAAUUCAUCCUCAAAGCAAUGCAACAACAAUUUGAGAGGAUUCAAGUAGCUAUUGGCAAAAUAAAUGAGAAAUCAAAGAAACAACAACGUCAGUUAAAUUCCAUGAGAGGGGAAGCUUCCCAAACCAAUAUAAGGGCAAGAAG
rnacentral:lncRNA from 1 species